rnacentral:misc_RNA from 1 species
AACGCACAUUGCGCCCUUUGGUAUUCCGAAGGGCAUGCCUGUUCGAGCGUCAUUUUCACCCCUCAAGCCCCCGGCUUGGUGUUGGACGGUUUGGUCCCGGGACCCCCCUGGACCCCUCCCAAAGACAAUGACGGCGGGCUGUCGCACCCCCGGUACACUGAGCAUCUUCACGGAGCACGUACCGGUCUCCAGGGUCGACGGCACCCGGUCUCACACCUAUAUCUUUCAAGGUUGACCUCGGAUCAGGUAGGAAUACCCGCUGAACUUAA